rnacentral:tRNA from 1 species
AGCAAAGUGGCCGAGAGACAGGCAAAAGAUUGUAGCUCUUUACACGGGUUAUCCCCCUU